AUCACCCUGCGGUGUUCGUUAUGUUAAGACUUAUCUUGAACCAACAUUUUGACGUAAGGGAGCUCAGUGCACAGAUGGAGAGUCAUGCCCGUAUUAAUACCCGGGACGGCGCACAAGUUUGUCACGGCACCCACUUUUCAUUACGGUCCAACAGCGUCUUGCAGACGGCAUUCGCGGGGGAACU
rnacentral:other from 1 species